rnacentral:rRNA from 1 species
AUGCAAGUCGAACGCACUUUCGUUGAAUGAAUUAGAGGUGCUUGCACCGAAGAUGAUUUUAGCUAUAAAGUGAGUGGCGAACGGGUGAGUAACACGUGGGUAACCUGCCCAGAAGUGGGGGAUAACACCUGGAAACAGAUGCUAAUACCGCAUAACAAAGUAAACCGCAUGGUUUACUUUUAAAAGAUGGCUUCGGCUAUCACUUCUGGAUGGACCCGCGGCGUAUUAGCUAGUUGGUGAGAUAAAGGCUCACCAAGGCAGUGAUACGUAGCCGACCUGAGAGGGUAAUCGGCCACAUUGGGACUGAGACACGGCCCAGACUCCUACGGGAGGCAGCAGUAGGGAAUCUUCCACAAUGGACGAAAGUCUGAUGGAGCAACGCCGCGUGAGUGAUGAAGGCUUUAGGGUCGUAAAACUCUGUUGUUGGAGAAGAACGUGUGUGAGAGUAACUGCUCAUGCAGUGACGGUAUCCAACCAGAAAGCCACGGCUAACUACGUGCCAGCAGCCGCGGUAAUACGUAGGUGGCAAGCGUUAUCCGGAUUUAUUGGGCGUAAAGCGAGCGCAGGCGGUCUUUUAAGUCUAAUGUGAAAGCCUUCGGCUUAACCGAAGAAGUGCAUUGGAAACUGGAAGACUUGAGUGCAGAAGAGGACAGUGGAACUCCAUGUGUAGCGGUGAAAUGCGUAGAUAUAUGGAAGAACACCAGUGGCGAAGGCGGCUGUCUGGUCUGUAACUGACGCUGAGGCUCGAAAGCAUGGGUAGCGAACAGGAUUAGAUACCCUGGUAGUCCAUGCCGUAAACGAUGAAUGCUAAGUGUUGGAGGGUUUCCGCCCUUCAGUGCUGCAGCUAACG